GUGAGGAAUAUUGGUCAAUGGGCGGGAGCCUGAACCAGCCAAGUCGCGUGAAGGAAGAAGGAUCUAUGGUUCGUAAACUUCUUUUGCAGGGGAAUAAAGUGCAGGACGUGUCCUGUUUUGUAUGUACCCUGAGAAUAAGGAUCGGCUAACUCCGUGCCAGCAGCCGCGGUAAUACGGAGGAUCCGAGCGUUAUCCGGAUUUAUUGGGUUUAAAGGGUGCGUAUGUGGUUUGAUAAGUCAGCGGUGAAAGUUUGCAGCUUAACUGUAAAAAUGCCGUUGAAACUGUCGGACUUGAGUGUAAAUGAGGUAGGCGGAAUGCGUGGUGUAGCGGUGAAAUGCAUAGAUAUCACGCAGAACUCCGAUUGCGAAGGCAGCUUACUAAGCUACAACUGACACUGAAGCACGAAAGCGUGGGGAUCAAACAGGAUUAGAAACCCCGGUAGUCC
rnacentral:rRNA from 1 species